UACGUAGGCAGCAAGCGUUGUUCGGAAUUACUGGGCGUAAAGAGUGUGUAGGCGGUGCUCUAAGUUCGGUGUGAAAUCUCCCGGCUCAACUGGGAGGGUGCGCCGAAAACUGGGGUGCUGGAGCGCGGGAGAGGAAAGCGGAAUUCCUGGUGUAGCGGUGAAAUGCGUAGAUAUCAGGAGGAACACCGGUGGUGUAGACGGCUUUCUGGACCGUAACUGACGCUGAGACACGAAAGCGUGGGUAGCAAACAGG
rnacentral:rRNA from 1 species